CAGCUCUACGAGUGGUAGGAAUGAUUAUUGGGCUUAAAGCGUCCGUAGCCUGCUGAGCAAGUUUCCUGUUAAAUUCAGCGACCUAAUCGUUGAGCCGCGGGAAAUACUACUAGGCUAGGAGGCGGGAGAGGUCAACGGUACUUCCGGGGUAGGGGUGAAAUCCUAUAAUCCCGGGAGGACCACCAGUGGCGAAGGCUGUUGACUAGAACGCGCUAGACGGUGAGGGACGAAAGCUGGGGGAGCGAACCGGAUUAGAUACCCGAGUAGUCC
rnacentral:rRNA from 1 species